GCACCUGAAUAUGGCUGAGUAUAUUUGAUUUAAUAUCGAUACUGCUUAGUGUUCUUUGUUACUUCAGCUUUUGUACGUUCUAAAUAUAUGCUGUCAUUAAUUGCCACAGAAGUUAAACCCUACCCAAUGGAAUGACGUUAAAGAACGACUUUGGUGCAGAGUUACCAACUGGAUAAUAUCAAAGCUAAAAUAAUGUCCGUCAUUCCCACAUGUUACAGUAGAAGAUACUGUAGAACUGUAAAAGGUUAAAAAGGUAACGUGUAGUUUGUCCCAAGGUGUCUGCCUCCUCACCCAGAGCCAGACCUCCACCUCCUCACCCAGAGCCAGACCUCCACCUCCUCACCCAGAGCCAGACCUCCACCUCCUCACCCAGAGCCAGACCUCCACCUCCUGUCAGAAGUCCUCCAGAACAGGUCAGUGCUCUGUGUGAGUAGAGUCUUCUCAGGUCAGUUUCAAUGCAUGGCCUGAACCACUUCUUUAAACUUGUGGACUGCUGUCUUCAUUCCCAAAAACGGGAUGCUCAUGUCUGGUCUCAAGUCUUUUCUGGCCUUGAGUUAUAAAAUAAUAGUUCAAUUAAUUGUGUAACUCUGUUUUGGAUGAGUCAAAUAAGUUUAUUGUUGGGCAAAUGCUGAUAUAAACCUGCUGCUGUAGCUGAAAGGCGAGGCUGGGGACCGGAGGCUUGUGGUGCCAGGGUGGACCGGAGACUGGGGCUGGAGACCAGGGGCCUGCAGCACCGGACCAGAGGGUAACCAUCACCAAGCUCAUCUGAAACACCAAAAUCCACGGUAGUUUAGGUCUGGUUUUGAUCAUCUUUAUGACUUUAAAUCUGUGCCAAGCUGUGAGUUAAUUUAUACGGGCGUUAUGCAAGAGUCAUAUGAGCCAGACUAGGAAUCGACCAACAAGGAUUCCUCAACGUGUUUCUGGAGCGGAGGCGAGCUGGUAGGGGAGCCGUGAAUCUGGAGGAUGACCAUCACUCUACCAACAAGGAUUACUUUAGGGCCAGACUCGCUUGUUCCAGACCAGGACUCUGGCUGAGGAGAGCUGAUGGAGGAGCCAAGACUCUGGAGGACGACAUCACUCCACCAACUAGGAUCCUCACCAGGAAUCUGGAGGACUGAUGGAGAAGCCAUACAUCUGGAAGGCAAAUCCUGAGGACCACCAGGACUCUACCAUCAAGGAUUCCUCAUAAAUGUGCAUUAUCUGGACAUAGUGGACUAGGUAAGGGGUUGGGGGUUCAACUCUCAAACCAAUGGUGCCGGGUUCAAGUCCUCAGAAUACAGUGAUGCGUCCUUGAGCAAGGCGCCCGAAAGCCUGCCUGCUCCUUAAUGUCUUAUCUUUGGUUCAGAUAAUGUUGCAUCUUUUGAAUAUUGAACCUAAUCAUUGUCCUUGUUUGGUCCGGGCAGACACACCUGAGCUGAACCUCACCUGAUCCUGUUUGGUCGGGGGUAGACACACCUGAGCUAAACCCGCCCUGAUCCUGACAUCCUGCUGGUCCCGUCUCCUCAGUU
rnacentral:lncRNA from 1 species